rnacentral:rRNA from 1 species
GAUGAACGCUAGCGACAGGCUUAACACAUGCAAGUCGAGGGGCAGCACAGGUAGCAAUACCGGGUGGCGACCGGCGCACGGGUGAGUAACGCGUAUGCAACUUACCUAUCAGAGGGGGAUAACCCGGCGAAAGUCGGACUAAUACCGCAUGAAGCAGGGGUCCCGCAUGGGGAUAUUUGCUAAAGAUUCAUCGCUGAUAGAUAGGCAUGCGUUCCAUUAGGCAGUUGGCGGGGUAACGGCCCACCAAACCGACGAUGGAUAGGGGUUCUGAGAGGAAGGUCCCCCACAUUGGUACUGAGACACGGACCAAACUCCUACGGGAGGCAGCAGUGAGGAAUAUUGAUCAAUGGCCGAGAGGCUGAACCAGCCAAGUCGCGUGAGGGAUGAAGGUUCUAUGGAUCGUAACCCUCUUUUAUAAGGGAAUAAAGUGCGGGACGUGUCCCGUUUUGUAUGUACCUUAUGAAUAAGGAUCGGCUAACUCCGUG